rnacentral:rRNA from 1 species
AUUGAACGCUGGCGGCAUGCCUUACACAUGCAAGUCGAACGGCAGCACGGGGCAACCUGGUGGCGAGUGGCGAACGGGUGAGUAAUGCAUCGGAACGUACCUUUCAGUGGGGGAUAACGUAGCGAAAGUUACGCUAAUACCGCAGAUUCUGUGAGCAGGAAAGCAGGGGAUCGCAAGACCUUGCGCUGAUUGAGCGGCCGAUGUCAGAUUAGCUAGUUGGUGAGGUAAAGGCUCACCAAGGCGACGAUCUGUAGCGGGUCUGAGAGGAUGAUCCGCCACACUGGAACUGAAACACGGUCCGGACUCCUACGGGAGGCAGCAGUGGGGAAUUUUGGACAAUGGGGGCAACCCUGAUCCAGCCAUGCCGCGUGAGUGAAGAAGGCCUUCGGGUUGUAAAGCUCUUUCGGCCGGGAAGAAAUCGCACGGGCUAAUACCCUGUGUGGAUGACGGUACCGGAAUAAGAAGCACCGGCUAACUACGUGCCAGCAGCCGCCGUAAAAC